AGAUGAUUAGCUUAGUUGGUUAGAGCACGAUGCUAGUAACGCCAAGGUUGUGGGUUCAAUCCCCUUAUGGGCUG